rnacentral:rRNA from 1 species
AUACGUAGGGGGCGAGCGUUGUCCGGAAUGACUGGGCGUAAAGGGCGUGUAGGCGGCCGAUUAAGUCUGGAGUGAAAGUCCUGCUUUCAAGGUGGGAAUUGCUUUGGAGACUGGUUGGCUUGAGUGCGGAAGAGGUAAGUGGAAUUCCCAGUGUAGCGGUGAAAUGCGUAGAGAUUGGGAGGAACACCAGUGGCGAAGGCGGCUUACUGGGCCGUAACUGACGCUGAGGCGCGAAAGCGUGGGGAGCGAACAGGAUUAGAUACCCUGGUAGGCCACGCGGUAAACGAUGAAUGCUAGGUGUAGGGGGUAUCGACCCCUCCUGUGCCGGAGUGAACACAAUAAGCAGUCCGCCUGGGGAGUACGGCCGCAAGGUUGAAACUUAAAUGAAUUGACGGGG